AGAGUUUGAUCAUGGCUCAGAACGAACGCUGGCGGCAGGCUUAACACAUGCAAGUCGAGCGCUGUAGCAAUACAGAGCGGCGCACGGGAGAGUAAUACGUGGGAACCUACCUUUUGGUUCGGAAUAACGUCGGGAAACUGACGCUAAUACCGAAUAAGUCCUUCGGGAGAAAGAUUUAUCGCCGAAAGAUGGGCCCACGUUGGAUUAGCUAGUUGGUGAGGUAACGGCUCACCAAGGCUACGAUCCAUAGCUGGUCUGAGAGGAUGAUCAGCCUCACUGGGACUGAGACACGGCCCAGACUCCUACGGGAGGCAGCAGUGGGGAAUAUUGGACAAUGGGGGCAACCCUGAUCCAGCCAUGCCGCGUGAGUGAUGAAGGCCUUCGGGUUGUAAAGCUCUUUUGGCGGGGACGAUGAUGACGGUACCCGCAGAAUAAGCUCCGGCUAACUUCGUGCCAGCAGCCGCGGUAAUACGAAGGGAGCUAGCGUUGUUCGGAAUUACUGGGCGUAAAGGGCGCGUAGGUGGCUUGGCAAGUUGGAUGUGAAAGCCCAGGGCUCAACCCUGGAAUUGCAUUCAAGACUGCCUUGCUUGAAUUCGGUAGAGGUUGGUGGAAUUCCCAGUGUAGAGGUGAAAUUCGUAGAGAUUGGGAAGAACACCCGUGGCGAAGGCGGCCAACUGGACCGACAUUGACACUGAGGCGCGAAAGCGUGGGGGAUCAAACAGGAUUAGAUACCCUAGUAGUCC
rnacentral:rRNA from 1 species